rnacentral:rRNA from 1 species
GAUGAACGCUGGCGGCGUGCCUAAUACAUGCCAGUCGAGCGAACGGACGAGAAGCUUGCUUCUCUGAUGUUAGCGGCGGACGGGUGAGUAACACGUGGAUAACCUACCUAUAAGACUGGGAUAACUUCGGGAAACCGGAGCUAAUACCGGAUAAUAUUUUGAACCGCAUGGUUCAAAAGUGAAAGACGGUCUUGCUGUCACUUAUAGAUGGAUCCGCGCUGCAUUAGCUAGUUGGUAAGGUAACGGCUUACCAAGGCAACGAUGCAUAGCCGACCUGAGAGGGUGAUCGGCCACACUGGAACUGAGACAGGGUCCAGACUCCUACGGGAGGCAGCAGUAGGGAAUCUUCCGCAAUGGGCGAAAGCCUGACGGAGCAACGCCGCGUGAGUGAUGAAGGUCUUCGGAUCGUAAAACUCUGUUAUUAGGGAAGAACAUAUGUGUAAGUAACUGUGCACAUCUUGACGGUACCUAAUCAGAAAGCCACGGCUAACUACGUG